rnacentral:siRNA from 1 species
GGCGAUGUCAAGUAGAUAUGAGC